GUGGGAGCCGAGCUUGCUCGCGAUGACGUCGGAUCAGUCAGCAUUGAUGUUGGCAGACACACCGCAAUCGCGAGCAAGCUCGGCUCCCAC
rnacentral:ncRNA from 2 species